UACGGGGGGUGCAAGCGUUAUUCGGAUUUAUUGGGCGUAAAGAGCGCGUAGGCGGUUUAUCAAGUCAGAUGUGAAAGCCCUGGGCUCAACCUGGGAAGUGCAUUUGAAACUAGUAGACUUGAGUAUGGGAGAGGGGAGUGGAAUUCCUGGUGUAGAGGUGAAAUUCGUAGAUAUCAGGAGGAACACCGGUGGCGAAGGCGACUUCCUGGACCAAUACUGACGCUGAGGCGCGAAGGCGUGGGGAGCAAACAGGAUUAGAUACCCGCGUAGUCC
rnacentral:rRNA from 1 species